UACGGAGGGGGUUAGCGUUGUUCGGAAUUACUGGGCGUAAAGCGCGCGUAGGCGGAUUAGAAAGUUGGGGGUGAAAUCCCGGGGCUCAACCUCGGAACUGCCUCCAAAACUGCUAGUCUAGAGUUCGAGAGAGGUGAGUGGAAUUCCGAGUGUAGAGGUGAAAUUCGUAGAUAUUUGGAGGAACACCAGUGGCGAAGGCGGCUCACUGGCUCGAUACUGACGCUGAGGUGCGAAAGUGUGGGGAGCAAACAGG
rnacentral:rRNA from 1 species